rnacentral:piRNA from 1 species
UGGGAAUGGAGGCUCCAGCACUUC